rnacentral:tRNA from 1 species
GGGGUUGUGGCUCAGAGGUAAAGCGCUCGCCUAGAGUGCGAGAGGCACUGGGUUCGAUCCUUAGCACCA